rnacentral:rRNA from 2 species
CGCCGUAAACGAUGUCUACUUGGAGGUUGUGCCCUUGAGGCGUGGCUUCCGGAGCUAACGCGUUAAGUAGACCGCCUGGGGAGUACGGCCGCAAGGUUAAAACUCAAAUGAAUUGACGGGGGCCCGCACAAGCGGUGGAGCAUGUGGUUUAAUUCGAUGCAACGCGAAGAACCUUACCUGGUCUUGACAUCCACAGAAGAAUCCAGAGAUGGAUUUGUGCCUUCGGGAACUGUGAGACAGGUGCUGCAUGGCUGUCGUCAGCUCGUGUUGUGAAAUGUUGGGUUAAGUCCCGCAACGAGCGCAACCCUUAUCCUUUGUUGCCAGCGGUCCGGCCGGGAACUCAAAGGAGACUGCCAGUGAUAAACUGGAGGAAGGUGGGGAUGACGUCAAGUCAUCAUGGCCCUUACGACCAGGGCUACACACGUGCUACAAUGGCGCAUACAAAGAGAAGCGACCUCGCGAGAGCAAGCGGACCUCAUAAAGUGCGUCGUAGUCCGGAUUGGAGUCUGCAACUCGACUCCAUGAAGUCGGAAUCGCUAGUAAUCGUGGAUCAGAAUGCCACGGUGAAUACGUUCCCGGGCCUUGUACACACCGCCCGUCACACCAUGGGAGUGGGUUGCAAAAGAAGUAGGUAGCUUAACCUUCGGGAGGGCGCUUACCACUUUGUGAUUCAUGACUGGGGUGAAGUCGUAACAAGGUAACCGUAGGGGAACCUGC